GCGGGUAGCAAUACCUGGCGGCGACCGGCGGAAGGGUGCGUAACGCGUGAGCAACAUGCCCGUCUCAGGGGGAUAACCGAUGGAAACGUCGCCUAAUACCCCGUAACAACAGUGGCCGCAUGACCACGGUUUGAAAGCUCCGGCGGAGACGGAUUGGCUCGCGUGACAUUAGCUGGUUGGCGGGUAACGCCCACCAAGGCGACGAUGUCUAGGGGUUCUGAGAGGAAGGUCCCCCACACUGGAACUGAGACACGGUCCAGACUCCUACGGGAGGCAGCAGUGAGGAAUAUUGGUCAAUGGGCGGAAGCCUGAACCAGCCAUGCCGCGUGCAGGAAUGAGGCCCUAUUGGGUCGUAAACUGCUUUUGCUGCGGAGCAAUAAGUGCCACGUGUGACACGAUGAGAGUACGCCAGCGAAUAAGCAUCGGCUAACUCGUGCCAGCCGCCGC
rnacentral:rRNA from 1 species